GUCUCUUUGUAGUGAAUUAAAUAAAGAGUUGGGCCUGCUCGGUGAAGAUAAUUUUAACAGCUGCGGUAUUUUAACUGUACUAAGGUAGCAUAAUAAUUUGCCUUAUAAAUUGAGGCUAGAAUGAAAGGUUUGACGAAGGUUUAACUGUCUCUUUCUUAUUUAUUAGAAUUUAAUUUUUUAGUGAAAAAGCUUAAAUGUUUUAAAGGGACGAGAAGACCCUAUUGAGCUUUAAAUUUGGGAAUAUUAUAUUUAUUAAGUAUAAUGUUUGAAAAAUUUUAAUUGGGGUGAUUAAGGAAUAAAAUAAAAUAUAUUAAAAAUUUAACUUCCUUAGAUAAUAUAUUGUUAAAUAAAGUAACCAAUAAUAUUGCUUAUAUAAAGUUACCAUAGGGAUAACAGCGUAAUUUAUUUAGAGAGAUCUUAUUGAAAAAUAAGAUUGCGACCUCGAUGUUGGAUUAAAGUGACCUUAAGGUGCAGAAGCUUUAAUAGGUAAAUCUGUUCGAUUUUUAAAACUUU
rnacentral:rRNA from 1 species